rnacentral:misc_RNA from 1 species
AGGCGUAUUAACGCGCGGGUGCACCCCCCCCCACAGGGCGUGCGCAUACCCACGUAGAUACAUACGCAUACGCACAUUUGCAUACGCAGCCACACUGGUAGCUCCACUGCACGUUUAUUCAAGUUUUUUUUUUCUCGCCCGCUUCGCACGACGGCGUGUGCGGCAAAGUCCACUGCUCUCUCUUCGACCCCUCAUAUCCUUUGAGGCAUUCCACUCCGUCUAUCAGGCACACGAGUACGAGUCUGUGCGCCCGUGAGCAGUCGCUUGCCACCAUCUUCAUUCCUUUCCUCUCUUUUUUCUCUUGUGAUUUUGUUUGCCGUGUUGUAGCGCGUGUGGCGUCGGCUGCAUCCCAGUCUGUGGGUCUCUGCUGCUCUUCCUGUCCUCAACGCAUCUCGGCCCUCUCCCCCUUUUCUAGGUCGCUCUUAGUCAGAGCUCACACACACGCACACACGCGCACGAAAAGAAAAAACGAAAACGAAGAAGCAGUCAAACUAAGUGACAGUGGCUUCGUUUUCUCUGCUUCGCUCCUCUCCCCUUUUCCGCCCGUACAACCAACGCACGCACACGCCUGCGCUUACGCAGUUCUUCACACACACACACACACACACACGCACACAUACGUGCGUGUAUUUGCCCGUCCACGCCCUCUCUCUUCCCCCCUCUCUCGCUGUUGCUCUCUUUCUCUGUGCGCACCGCCUCUGUCGCACUUCAUCGUCCUGUUUGUUCUCCUAUUUUGUGUGCAGGGCUGUGUGUGUGUGUGCCGCCGCUUUUUUAUUUCUUAUUUGCCCCAACCCCUCACCUCCGCUCCUUCCCUACCACUUCUCCCUCUUUCUCUCUGUGCACAUUCGUUCUUACAGAUCUGUAUAGCGGCUUUCAUUAUAACUAUAUAUAUAUAUAUACGUUUGCCUUGUUUUGUUCUCACCGCCCCGCUGCAUUCAUUGUCCUUGUCCCCCCUCUCUUCCUCUGCGCCCUCUUUCCCCGAUCUCCGUAGUCCACCCCUCUCUUGAAAGCCGCCAUACAUGCAUCUGCACUGAGGUGGCACGAAAAAGGCGCGCCGCGAUCACGCAUCAUGAACAACUAUGUACUUAAUGACGAGAUCGGCCAAGGUGCCUUCAGCACCAUUUACAAGGGCCGCUAUCGCACCACCACCGAGUUCUACGCGAUUGCCUCCAUCGACAAGAAGCGACGGGAGCGCGUCGUGAACUGCGUUCAGCUGUUACGCUCCAUGCACCAUUCAAACGUCAUAGAGUUCCACAACUGGUAUGAGACCAACAAUCACUUGUGGAUCAUUACAGAGUACUGCACCGGCGGAGACAUGAGCACGAUCCUCCGCUCGAACAUUAAUCUCACCACUCAGGCGGUCCAGGCAUUUGGCCGUGAUGUGGCGAUGGGCCUCAUGCAUAUCCACAGUAAGGGUGUCGUGUAUAACGACUUGCAGACUCGUAAUCUGCUGAUGGACUCCGCAGCAAUGCUGCGCUUCCACGACUUUAGCUUAGCCUGUCUCUUCCACGACGCGGCGACGCGGCCGCUGGUGGGGACGCCACUGUACAUGGCCCCCGAGUUGUUCAUGGAGGAUCGCCCGUUGUACUCGAUGGCAUCAGACCUGUGGUCCUUCGGUUGCGUGCUGCACGAGCUGGCGACAGGCAAGCCGCCUUUUGCAGCAUCCGACCUCGAGACGCUACUGAACGACAUACUGACGAGUCCGACGCCAACGGUGCCCGGUGCGCCGGAGUCUUUUCAAACGCUCUUGUGCGGCCUUCUGGAAAAAGACCCUUUGAAGCGCUACACGUGGGCCGAUGUCGUGCGCAGCGAGUUCUGGGAUGAGCCCUUGCCGCUGCCGAGCAACGGCUUUCCAUCUCAGGUGGCGUGGGAGGACUACAGGCGUUCGCGUUCUGGACGCGCCGCGAGUCAGUAUAAUUGGACGGACGCCGAUGUGCGCGCGGCAGUGGCGCACGCCGUGGCGGCAGCGAAAUCAAAUGCUUCCACGCACAAUGUGGAGGAGAGGGAGCGAGCGGCGGCGACGUUGAACGUCGCAAAGGAGCUGGACUUCACCGCAAGCGCGGCGAUGCUGCUGGAACGGCUACCUGAGCGGACACAGGAGCGUGCCGCACACACAACAAUCCAUGUCACCACCGCGCACGGCAGCCUGGUGCCCGGCUGCCCAUCCACGGCCUCAGCGGCGUCGAAUACCUUCAACGCCAACGGCUCUUCCUCAAGUGCCGUUGCGUCCUCUCGCCGCAGUCGUCUCAGCGAAUCAAAAAACAGUGGCGGUGACCCACAAAGGCACCGCGUGAGCAAGGGACGCGGCGCGGCAAGCAGCCGAGCGUCUGGUAGCGCCGCCAUAGCGUACGAAGGCGGACGCACCGCGUACGCGACCAACUCCGGCGCCAAGGAGGACCGCCCGACCGAGGCGAACUUGCAUCUCUUCGCGAGCGAGGCGCUGCGUCACCUCACAAUCAGCGACCUCCUCCCCCAUCAUACGGAUCAGCACAUUCGUCCUCUGAGCAACAAUAGCCGCAUCGAGUACACGCCCGAGCCGUCGUACGACAUCUCCACUCUAGGCUUUACGGCGCUGACGGCGGCGGAGAUCAACAGCUUGACGGGUAAGGAACACACCGCGUUUUUCCGCUCGCUCUACCUGGCCCUCUCCAACUUGAGCAGCGGUUACGAUAAUGUACUCAACACCAUGAACUACGUCAUUUCGCUCUGCGGUGACGCGGAGGUGGCGCGCGCCUCGGUUAACAGCUCCGUGAUGCGGCUGUGUGUGAAGCACGCGGGCCGCAAGGAUGCGCCGGCGGGCUUUCGUGCAGCGGCAGCGCUCAUUAUGGGGCUUUUGGUGCGCACAACGGCCUUUAUCACGUCGGAAGUGGCCUCGUCGUCUAUCCUGCCAGACAUUAUGCAGUUGUUUGAAGACGAAACAGAUGUGCCUGUGAAGCGCAAGCUGAUCGCAUGCAUCGGUGAGUUUCUUUUCUACAUCGCCGUCCAGCAGAAGAGGCAGCGCGCCAUGUGGAACGUGCAGCCGGCCACGGUGAAGCGCAUCUACACCUGGGCGUUGGACUCCGACGACGACGUGCUGAAGCAUUAUGCGGCAAAGAUGAUCGAGAACAUGGCAUCCACUCCGCAGAAGGAGAUGACGCUGGAGCUUUUUGCCGACCCCGUCUUUGUGGAGAAGCUGCUGGCCGUGUUCGCGCUUCCGUCGGUGGAGGGUCGGAGCGAGGACAUGCGCUCCGAUGCAGUGUGCGCGGCGUUCAAGCUCGCCAUGGUGAAGGACGAGCUGAUCCUCGCUGUCAUGCAGUGCAGGUGGCUGCCGGUGACGUCGUACGCGACCGUGAUGCAGCGAUCCACUCUCACGCACCCGAUGCAGAUCUUGCUAACGUUCCUUAACUACGCCAUUGUAAAGGGGUUGGUGACGCUACAAAGCCCGUUUGCUCGAUUGUGGUCGCAGGCCUCUUUUGACUCGCACAGCAGCGGCGGCUGCGGCAGUGGCCGCCGAGGCUGUGCCUUGACGUCCUCGCUCAGCGUUGAGGAUGCGGAGGAGGUUGUCGGCAACGCGUUAUUCGUGAGUGAGGACUUGCUUGAGCACCUGAGCGAGGCGAUCGAGCAGGCGUCAGUCGCUGUCUACGGCAAAACGCUGCUCUUUGUGAUGCUUAUCGGCUGCGUCGGCGGGAGCACCAUCUGCCAAAUCCUCAACAGCCGCAUCGUCGCCUUCCUCGAUCGCCUCGUUCGCGACGCGGACUCGUACGUGAAGCGCUGUGGCGCAGCCUUGUCGGCCUUCCUUGGCUGGUUCGUGUCUGAGAAGCUCGCGAGCAUUGCGCGCCGAGUGUCUUCGACCUCGACGGCGACGCACCUCGCCGCCAUUCAGCAGCUGCUGAACAACUCCGCCGUGCGCAGCGGCAUCGACUUUCAAAAGGAUGUCUUCCAGAGCCUCUCGACCUGCAUUGACAAGGCCAUGAACAACACGAUCUACGGCACCUACCGGGACGAAUUCAACCGCAUCGCCGACCGCUUUGUCGAGAGCCCCGAGGAGGUGCUGCGGUAUCAAGAGAACAUAUGCCUGUACCUCGCCACUUCCUACGCAGAAAUGCUGCGACGCAAGGAGGCGAGCGGCCGCUUCACUGCUAUUCGUUUCUUGACGUCUGUCAUGGUGCCCAUCUCGGCCGAGGUGACGGCGACGCGCAAGGAAAGCAGUGGCGCCACGUCGGCCGCGCGCCAGGUGCUGAACGCGGUGGCGCCGAAUGUUGCCUCUCUCUUGCAAGAGACAAGCCCGAUCCCCACGAACACAAUGCGGCUUCUCGUGACGUGCGGCGAGAUGGCUCAGAGCAAACUCUCCGGCCUCGUAUCUGAGCAGCUAUUGGGCCACAUAAUGGACUACGUGAAUGGAAGCGGGGAUGGCGGCGACAUGUACUAUCCGCUCUCUUUUAUCCACCUCUGCCUGCUGGUGAGCCAGCGAGUAGAUAUCUUCAACUACGUCGUGCGCCAGGGACUGUGCGCGCUGGCCCUUGAGACGCUCGCGUCCGCCGCCACGGGCAGGAAUGAUCCGCUGGUGGAAAUGUGUUGCAAUCUCUUGGCGGUGGUGGUGCGCCGCGUGGCGGGGGACUCGUCAUCACGGGUGACGGCGCAGUGCGCCAGCUGUGUGCAGGCGGACUCCAUCAGCUCUGUCUUGCUGCCCAUUUGCGCAGACACAGCCAACAGUAUUGCUCUGAUGGAGUCCGCCGCUUCCGUGAUAGAGGACUUUGCCCGUCUUUCAUCAACGGCCCGCAAUGACCUCACCUCGGCAUCCGCAAUCGCGAUGUGGGCAGGGGCCUUGUCCAAUGCGCUUCUGUCAUCGGCGAGGCGUGCCGUAGCCGUGAGCCUGCUGACAGCUCUGUCCACGUCGUGCGAGUCCACCUCGCGCGACGUGCUCGAGGAACUCAAGUGCGAUUCGCGCCUCAUGUCAGUGCUGGCCAACGCCGCCGACUGCACGCACAUGCGCCUCGUCGCCAGCGAGGCGAACAAGAUUCUGAAGAAACUCUCCUAGAGGUAUCAGGAGAGGUGCUACAGAGCACUUCUUUCUGCAGGCGUGUGUGUGCGUGCCCGUGCCUGUGCCUGCGCGUGUCGUCGGACGUGCUUGUUGUUGCCUGUACGAUUUCGUUUGUUUGUUUUUCUCACCUUUUUUUUGUCGUGUCUUUGGAUGCCUCUCGUAUGCCACCGUUCCCGUCUAACAACCCCGCCAACCAACCAGGCUCUCGCUCUCUCUCUCUGUUGCUAUCUUUCUCAUUCUCCCACACGCUGUGGAUGUAUGCGUCAUGCGUGCUGAUGGUGAUGGUGGCGAUGCUUGGCGGGCGCCUCUACUGCAACAACCCUGGAAACAGAAGCUGAAAAAAAAAAUAACUGGUCGCAGAGGCGGACAGUGGCCUCUGCAGCUCUUUCUGGACUGUCGGAAGACUCCCUCGUUUUCUCGCCGCUUUCCUCCGUCGGGCGUGACAGGCAGAGGUGGGGGGGGGGAAGGGAGCCGCUUUCGAUCGGCGGUGCAUCGCAUUGGGCAAAGCGGAUUAGGUUUAUGGAUGGUGCACGCCUCUGUCAUGUCGUAGCUUUCUUUUCUACGCCUACCUCCCAUGGACGUUUGAGGACCUGUGUUGGUGAAAGGCACAUCUGCAUAAUGCAUGCUUGGGCGUCUUCAAUGGCAGCUCACACGCCGCGCACCGCUCUACUUUGUUCUCUCUCUCUCCACCUCUGUGCUCGCAC